GGAUGCGAUCAUACCAGCACUAAAGCACCAGAUCCCAUCAGAACUCCGAAGUUAAGCGUGCUUGGGCAAGAGUAAAACUAGGAUGGGUGACCUCCUGGGAAGUCCUCGUGUUGCAUUCC
rnacentral:rRNA from 1 species